GAUGAAGAACGCAGCGAAAUGCGAUAAGUAGUGUGAAUUGCAGAAUUCAGUGAAUCAUCGAAUCUUUGAACGCACAUUGCGCCCCUCGGUAUUCCGUGGGGCAUGCCUGUUCGAGCGUCAUUUACCCCUCAAGCACUGCUUGGUGUUGGGCGUCUGUCCCGCUUCGCGCGCGGACUCGCCCCAAAGGUAUUGGCAGCGGUCGUGCCAGCUUCUCGCGCAGCACAUUGCGCUUCUCGAGGCGGUCGAUCGGCGUCCACGAAGCUCACCUCGACCGUUUGACCUCGGAUCAGGUAGGGAUACCCGCUGAACUUAAGCAUAUCAAUAAGCGGAGGA
rnacentral:misc_RNA from 1 species